rnacentral:rRNA from 1 species
AUACGGAGGGUGCAAGCGUUGUCCGGAUUUAUUGGGUUUAAAGGGUGCGUAGGCGGUGCGCUAAGUCAGUGGUGAAAUCCCGCAGCUCAACUGCGGAACUGCCAUUGAUACUGGCGCACUUGAGUACGGACGAGGUAGGCGGAAUUUAUGGUGUGGCGGUGAAAUGCAUAGAUACCAUAAAGAACACCGAUAGCGAAGGCAGCUUACUAGACCGUAACUGACGCUCAGGCACGAAAGCGUGGGGAGCGAACAGGAUUAGAUACCCCGGUAGUCC